GAGGUCCUACUUCUGGAAAGGCAGAGCAGCUCAAUAAGUGACAACAUUUGGGUCAGAGAGAUAAUCUGCUGGACUCUGAGGUGGCAGCACUUUGCUUCCUGUGUCGUGAUGUUGUUAGCAGAAGCCAGCUGAAAGGGACAGCGCUGGAUGUGUUUGCUCAGAUGGAAAAGAAAGAUUUAAUAUCAGACACAAAUGUCAGUGUGUUGCAUGAAAUACUCCAAGAGUUUGAUCAAGAGCUGGCAACCAUUGUAGAGAACUACAUUCAAGGAGUCCCCCAGCAGCAGCAGAUGUUACCUCCUCAUGUCAGUAUUGACAACUGUAUCGGUCUGUGUGUGCUUUGUUAAUUCUGUGUGUCAUUUUGCUGAUCACUGUGAUGUUUACUCCCACAGUAGGCAUGAUUUGCAUGGUAUGUAGGGGCCACUGCUAAGAAAAGGAAGGCUGCACAGAGACCCUGUUCCUGUACUCACCAUUAAAACUUUUACUGGGAAAAAGCGCAGUUUGGGGAUCAAAGCUCCUGA